GUGGGGAAUUUUGGACAAUGGGCGAAAGCCUGAUCCAGCCAUGCCGCGUGCAGGAUGAAGGCCUUCGGGUUGUAAACUGCUUUUGUACGGAACGAAAAGACUCCUUCUAAUAAAGGGGGUCCAUGACGGUACCGUAAGAAUAAGCACCGGCUAACUACGUGCCAGCAGCCGCGGUAAUACGUAGGGUGCAAGCGUUAAUCGGAAUUACUGGGCGUAAAGCGUGCGCAGGCGGUUAUAUAAGACAGAUGUGAAAUCCCCGGGCUCAACCUGGGAACUGCAUUUGGGACUGUAUAGCUAGAGUACGGUAGAGGGGGAUGGAAUUCCGCGUGUAGCAGUGAAAUGCGUAGAUAUGCGGAGGAACACCGAUGGCGAAGGCAAUCCCCUGGACCUGUACUGACGCUCAUGCACGAAAGCGUGGGGAGCAAACAGGAUUAGAAACCCUGGUAGUCC
rnacentral:rRNA from 1 species